GGCUGGUUGGUGAAGUGGCCUAACACACUGGUUUUAGGAAUCUAACAUUUUCGAAUACGCGGCUCCGCACACCAGGAUUCCUGGGUUCGAAUCCCAGACUAGUCA
rnacentral:tRNA from 1 species